rnacentral:rRNA from 1 species
AUGAACGUCUGGCAGAGCAAAGCUGAUGACUACUCGAUAGUUCAGUGUGCCAUGCUUUACGGCUUAGAAUCGGGACUUCAACGACGUUUUGAACGUCAUGGAGCAUAUGAGAUGUUCCAGGAGUUGAAGUUAAUAUUUCAAGCAAAUGCCCGGAUUGAGAGAUAUGAAGUCUCCAAUAAGUUCUAUAGCUGCAAGAUGGAGGAGAACAGUUCUGUCAGUGAGCAUAUACUCAAAAUGUCUGGGUAUAAUAAUCACUUGAUUCAAUUGGGAGUUAAUCUUCCGGAUGAUUGCGUCAUCGACAGAAUUCUCCAAUCACUGCCACCAAGCUACAAGAGCUUUGUAAUGAACUAUAAUAUGCAAGGGAUGAACAAGACUAUUCCCGAGCUCUUCGCAAUGCUGAAAGCUGCGGAGGUAGAAAUCAAGAAGGAGCAUCAAGUGUUGAUGGUCAACAAGACCACUAGUUUCAAGAAAAAGGGCAAAGGGAAGAAGAAGGGGAACUUCAAGAAGAACGGCAAGCAAGUUGCUGCUCAAGAGAAGAAACCCAAGUCUGGACCUAAGCCUGAAACUGAGUGCUUCUACUUCAAGCAGACUGGUCACUGGAAGCGGAACUGCCCCAAGUAUUUGGCAGAUAAGAAGGAUGGCAAGGUGAACAAAGGUAUAUGUGAUAUACAUGUUAUUGAUGUGUACCUUACUAAUGCUCGCAGUAGCACCUGGGUAUUUGAUACUGGUUCUGUUGCUAAUAUUUGCAACUCGAAACAGGGACUACGGAUUAAGCGAAGAUUGGCUAAGGACGAGGUGACGAUGCGCGUGGGAAACGGUUCCAAAGUCGAUGUGAUCGCGGUCGGCACGCUACCUCUACAUCUACCUUCGGGAUUAGUAUUAGACCUAAAUAAUUGUUAUUUGGUGCCAGCGUUGAGCAUGAACAUUAUAUCUGGAUCUUGUUUAAUGCGAGACGGUUAUUCAUUUAAAUCAGAGAAUAAUGGUUGUUCUAUUUAUAUGAGUAAUAUCUUUUAUGGUCAUGCACCCUUGAAGAGUGGUCUAUUUUUAUUAAAUCUCGAUAGUAGUAAUACACAUAUUCAUAAUGUUGAAGCCAAAAGAUGCAGAGUAGAUAAUGAAAGUGCAACUUAUUUAUGGCACUGUCGUUUAGGUCAUAUCGGUAUAAAGCGCAUGAAGAAACUCCAUACCGAUGGACUUUUGGAACCACUUGAUUAUGAAUCACUUGGUACUUGCGAACCGUGCCUCUUGGGCAAGAUGACUAAAACACCGUUCUCCGGUACUAUGGAGAGAGCAACAGAUUUGUUGGAAAUCAUACAUACCGAUGUAUGUGGCCCGAUGAAUAUUGAGGUUCGUGGCGGAUAUCGUUAUUUUCUCACCUUCACAGAUGAUUUAAGCAGAUAUGGGUAUAUUUACUUAAUGAAACAUAAGUCUGAAACAUUUGAAAAGUUCAAAGAAUUUCAGAGUGAAGUUGAAAAUCAUCGUAACAAGAAAAUAAAGUUUCUACGAUCUGAUCGUGGAGGAGAAUAUUUGAGUUACGAGUUUGGCGUACAUUUGAAAAACUGUGGAAUAGUUUCGCAACUCACGCCACCCGGAACACCACAGCGUAAUGGUGUGUCCGAACGUCGUAAUCGUACUUUACUAGAUAUGGUGCGAUCUAUGAUGUCUCUUACUGAUUUACCGCUAUCAUUUUGGGGAUAUGCUUUAGAGACGGCCGCAUUCACGUUAAAUAGGGCACCAUCAAAAUCCGUUGAGACAACGCCUUAUGAACUGUGGUUUGGCAAGAAACCAAAGUUGUCGUUUCUUAAAGUUUGGGGCUGCGAUGCUUAUGUGAAAAAGCUUCAACCUGAUAAGCUCGAACCCAAAUCGGAGAAAUGUGUCUUCAUAGGAUACCCAAAGGAAACUGUUGGGUACACCUUCUAUCACAGAUCCGAAGGCAAAACAUUCGUUGCUAAGAAUGGAUCAUUUCUAGAGAAGGAGUUUCUCUCGAAAGAAGUGAGUGGGAGAAAAGUAGAACUUGACGAGGUAACUGUACCUGCUCCCUUACUGGAAAGUAGUUCAUCACAGAAAACUGUUUCAGUGACACCUACACCAGUUAGUGAGGAAGCCAAUGAUAAUGAUCAUGAAACUUCAGAUCAAGAUACUACUGAACCGCGUAGAUCAACCAGAGUAAGAUCCGCACCAGAGUGGUACGGUAAUCCUGUUCUGGAGGUCAUGCUACUAGAUCAUGAUGAACCUACGAACUAUGAAGAAGCGAUGGUGAGCCCAGAUUCCGUAAAGUGGCUUGAAGCCAUGAAAUCUGAGAUGGGAUCCAUGUAUGAGAACAAAGUAUGGACUUUGGUUGACUUGCCCGAUGAUCGGCAAGCAAUUGAGAAUAAAUGGAUUUUUAAGAAGAAGACUGACGCUGAUGGUAAUGUUACUGUCUACAAAGCUCGACUUGUCGCAAAAGGUUUUCGGCAAGUUCAAGGAAUUGACUACGAUGAGACCUUCUCACCCGUAGCGAUGCUUAAGUCCGUCCGAAUCAUGUUAGCAAUUGCCGCAUUUUAUGAUUAUGAAAUUUGGCAAAUGGAUGUCAAAACUGCAUUCCUAAAUGAAUUUCUGGAAGAAGAGUUGUAUAUGAUGCAACCAGAAGGUUUUGUCGAUCCAAAGGGAGCUAACAAAGUGUGCAAGCUCCAGCGAUCCAUUUAUGGACUGGUGCAAGCCUCUCGGAGUUGGAAUAAACGUUUUGAUAGUGUGAUCAAAGCAUUUGGUUUUAUACAGGCUUUCGGAGAAGCCUGUAUUUACAAGAAAGUGAGUGGGAGCUCUGUAGCAUUUCUGAUAUUAUAUGUGGAUGACAUAUUACUGAUUGGAAAUGAUAUAGAAUUUCUGGAUAGCAUAAAGGGAUACUUGAAUAAAAGUUUUUCAAUGAAAGGCCUCGGUGAAGCUGCUUACAUAUUAGGCAUUAAGAUCUAUAGAGAUAGAUCAAGACGCUUAAUUGGACUUUCACAAAGCACAUACCUUGACAAAUUUUUGAAGAAAUUCAAAAUGGAUCAAGCAAAGAAAGGGUUCUUGCCUGUGUUACAAGGUGUGAAAUUGAGUAAGACUCAAUGCCCGACCACUGCAGAAGAUAGAGAGAAUAUGAAAGAUGUUCCCUAUGCAUCAGCCAUAGGCUCUAUCAUGUAUGCAAUGCUGUGUACCAGACCUGAUGUGUGCCUUGCUAUAAGUUUAGCAGGGAGGUACCAAAGUAAUCCAGGAAUGGAUCACUGGACAGCGGUCAAGAACAUCCUGAAAUACCUGAAAAGGACUAAGGAUAUGUUUCUCGUAUAUGGAAGUGACAAAGAGCUCAUCGUAAAAGGUUACGUUGAUGCAAGCUUUGACACUGAUCCGGACGAUUCUAAAUCGCAAACCGGAUACGUGUUUACAUUAAACGGUGGAGCUGUCAGUUGGUGCAGUUCCAAACAAAGCGUUGUAGCGGGAUCUACAUGUGAAGCGGAAUACAUAGCUGCUUCGGAAGCAGCAAAUGAAGGAGUCUGGAUGAAGGAGUUCAUAUCCGAUCUAGGUGUCAUACCUAGUGCAUCGGGUCCAAUGAAAAUCUUUUGUGACAAUACUGGUGCAAUUGCCUUGGCAAAGGAAUCCAGAUUUCACAAAAGGACCAAACACAUCAAGAGACGCUUCAACUCCAUCCGGGAUCUAGUCCAGGUGGGAGACAGAGAUUUGCAAGAUACAUACGGAUCUGAAUGUUGCAGACCCGUUGACUAA